rnacentral:sRNA from 1 species
UGAGAGUGCACGUGCCGUUCUGUGUCUCACUGCCUUUGAAGGUCCAUGGCCCUCUGAGCGUGGGCAUCAAAGUGGGGCUGCAGGGCCAGAAGCAUGGGAGGGCCACGGGGGACGCAGGUAUGCCUCAGGGGGAGAUAUUGGGGAAGCAGGAACCCCAGACGUCCCGGAGCCCCAAGCCCACCAGGAGAAGGGAGGUGUCACGGAGUGAGCUCAGUCCAGUGAUACCCAGCGCCGCAACCCUCAUCAUUGUGGUGUGCGUGGGCUUCCUGGUGCUCAUGGUCGUCCUGGGCCUGGUGCGCAUCCAUUCCCUUCACCGCCGCGUCUCAGGGGCUGGCGGGCCUCCAGGGGCCUCCAGUGACCCCAAGGACCCGGACCUCUUCUGGGAUGACUCAGCUCUCACCAUCAUUGUGAACCCCAUGGAGUCCUACCAGAAUCGGCAGGCCUGUGUGACGGGGGCUGUUGGGGGCCAGCAGGAGGAUGAGGACAGCAGUGACUCGGAGGUGGCCGACUCCCCCAGCAGCGACGAGAGACGCAUCAUCGAGACCCCCCCACACCGCUACUAAGGCCUGCACCUCUCCCCACGCAGAGGGAGAAUUCUGCCCUGGUGAAACAGACACUCCAGACAUGGGAGAAGGACUUUCUGGGAGAACAGAAACCAAGAGGGAGAGAGGCUUCAGAACCAGUCCUCCUUUCAUCUCAAAACCCCAGCGGGCCCUCUGGAGUCCGCCCUGCCCCUCCCCUGGCCCCCUAUCCCUUGCCUCUGGGCUGUCAUUCUCCUGGUGUGCCC